CUCUAUUACCACAGAAGAGGUAUAGCAGAAACAGGGGCAGAGCAAACGUGUUAUGCACUGUCCUUACAACAUGUCUCAGUUUUGAUGGGUGGACCACCUCUCCAAAGGUUAUAAG